GACGAACGCUGGCGGCGUGCUUAACACAUGCAAGUCGAACGGUGAACCUCUUCGUAGGGGAUCAGUUGCGAACGGGUGAGUAACACGUGGACAACCUGCCCCCGGCUCUGGGAUAACUCCAAGAAAUUGGGGCUAAUACCGGAUGUUCACCGCUUCCCGCAUGGGUGUUUGUGGAAAGGGUUUCCGGCUGGGGAUGGGCCCGCGGCCUAUCAGCUUGUUGGUGGGGUAGUGGCCUACCAAGGCGACGACGGGUAGCCGGCCUGAGAGGGUGAACGGCCACACUGGGACUGAGACACGGCCCAGACUCCUACGGGAGGCAGCAGUGGGGAAUAUUGCGCAAUGGGCGGAAGCCUGACGCAGCGACGCCGCGUGGGGGAUGACGGCCUUCGGGUUGUAAACCUCUUUCAGCAGGGACGAAGCGCAAGUGACGGUACCUGCAGAAGAAGCACCGGCUAACUACGUG
rnacentral:rRNA from 1 species